AUGAUCCUGUGGCUGAAUCUGGUGCCCUUGUUAGUAUUCCUUCAAGGAGUCCAGUCUCAAGUCCAGUUGGUGGAGUCUGGAGGGGAUGUGAGAAGACCUGGGGAGUCCCUCCAUCUCUCCUGCCAAGCCUCUGGAUUCACCUUCCGCAGCUAUACAAUGCACUGGAUGAGACAGGCUCCUGGGAAAGGACUUGAAUGGGUGGCAGCAAUAGCUAUAGGAUCAUCUCCUUCCACUAACUACCCAGACAAAGUCAAGGGACGCUUCACCAUCUCCAGAGAUGAUUCUCGCAGCCAGCUGUAUCUGCAAAUGAACAGCCUCAAACUAGAGGAUUCCGCAGUUUAUUACUGUGUGAGAGCGACACAGUGA